CAGGCUCAGAAACCAGGUCGUAAUAGAGGCUUGUCAGCACAGUUGUUGGGAUCUCAGAGAACCCCAGCUGUCGGCUUGCCGCCAUUUGGCCAGCACUUUGGAAUGCAACUAAGGACAAUGGUAUGAGUUUUAGGAAAACAUGGUGGUCCGUAACCUCUCCGGAAUCUUCGAUUAGACCAGACUGCAGUAGGGAUGCUGCUACGAUGACUAGGAGUGUUUGAGAACCAAAAUUAAUGAGCAUGGUGCGUCUAGUUUGAGGUCCAAAAUGUUGGGUUUUGGAGAAUGCUACACCCCCGGCGAGGAAAGAGAGAAUAGAAACAAGGGCCUUAAGCCAAUGGUAUGUCGUUUGGUCAAGAGCGUCGGAUGCUCCCAAUCCGAGAAAAAUGGUGUUUCCUAGCGGUUGUGGUGAUGUCAGUAAUGACGCAGUUUUGCCCCAUAUUUGGACUCACAGAUGCUCUGUAGGCAGCGCUGUCACUGAGACCCGACAGGAAAUAACAAACCAGAAAUAUUAGGUCCGCGUGCUCUGUAUUGACAUCCUGAGCUAAAUAGCGCACGACCCACGGCCUUCUAUCUAUAAUACCAAGCGCUGGUUGCAGGUUUGCUUCCACAUCCCCAAGCUCCUCGCCAUUGAUAGCCCGAGAUGAAUCUUCUUCUGGGUGUGGAUCGCCUGCCAUUGUGAUACGUAUGGUUUGAUUUGUCGUACAGAGCGUUUCUACUGAACAGCCAGGGAACAGAGGAAGCAAUUUCAAAGCAAUUUACUUGGUGAGAAACAAGCAGCUGGCCAUAUGAUUCUGCUUUGACUCAAGCGCGUUUGCCCGUACUAUUGCGAUGUGGGGAGUCUGAUUUGAUCACAGCACGGAACGAUAAUUGCAGUGGCGAUGUCGCCUGCGCGUACCUUAUUCGCCAUUUCUACUAUCGUGGAUGUAGUUGUUGUUGUUUCCAUCCUCGGCAGCGAUCUCAGGGGAAGGAGACGACGGAUACGAUCAUGUGACCUCCCCCUUUUUGAUUUUUCGACAUGAAAACGUCCAACACAUUACAUCGUCUCCUGGAAUCUCAUAUUUGCUGGAAUAGAAUCGAUGGCACUUAACGCCAGAUCCGCAUAUUCGAGGACGGCACGCAAAAUUUUGGAACAACAAUAACGAUAGCCGCGCGCUCUACUCUCCUUCGAAUCCAAUUUAUAGAACCACAUCAGGUCAAAGUCAUUGGAAACUGUAUACUUUUACCAUCAAGAUACGUAUCUGUUUUGCACUCCGUGAGGAACAGCUGUUUCAGGAGGGUUGACAUUUCGUAUUCUGUUCUAUCUCCGCCGUCGCUUGUCCAUUUUUGAAAGAAGGGCAAAUGGGCGACUAUAAGCGAAGACUGCAGCUGAUAUACGCCAUAAAAAUGAAUCGCUGCCAUACACAAUAGCAGCAUGUUUGUUGUUUCUUUCUUACUUUUCAAGAAGAUUUCGGCCUCUUUGUCUUAAUCGUGGGGUUUUGUUGGAGGCAACCGUCCUAACAUACUGUGGUGUUUGCCAAGCGCCUUUGCUAAAACCAGAAUCAAUGAUGAUUUUUUUUUUUUCGUUCUAUGAACCUUCUCGCGUCGC
rnacentral:sRNA from 1 species